CGGAAGAUGAGGGCCCUUUUGAGGCCGGGUUCUUGUAUGAAGGCCCAUUUAGAUCUAAAUAAUAAUGUUUUGUAUUUAAUCAAUACAAUAAUAGUAUACAAUUGUUGCACGUGCAACCACUGCGUAAAUAUUUUCUCAUUCCCUUGUACAUCUAAGGGCAUUGUAGUCUUUCAACAAACCCCGCGCUUGCUCUUGUUUGCAAACAAGCGCCAUUCUACAUUUCUCCUUGUGCACUCUGGAAAAAAGCCACAGGGGGAGAGCAGAGAGGCGAAAACGAGCAAGGGAAAAAUGGUUGCCCCGAACCAGCUUGUCCAAGUUCCUAGAUGGUGACAAUCAAUUUUUUUUGCGGACCGACUAAUAAGUGUCGCCUGGAUUGGAGCUCAAGUUGGAGUGUGCACUUGAUGUGGUAAAUUUAUAUCAUAGCUGUACAGGAUGAUUAAUCUAAGAUCCAUUUGGUGCUAUAGGAUACUAGGAAAGAAGUCAUUCAGGCUUGGGACAUGGAUAAUAGUUAUGAGGACCAGAGACAUCACAAGGACCCUAAGGAAUUUGUAUCCUUGGACCAACUUGCUGAGCUCGGAGUGCUUGGUUGGAAACUAGAUGCUGACAAACAUGAAACAGAUGAAGAAUUGAAGAAAAUCCAUGAGGAAUGUGGAUAUUCUUAUAAGGGUCAGGAACGAUUGCUUUAACAAUGACCAAGAAAUUGUUGUUCUCUGAUAUGGGAAUGCCAAUUUGGGCAAAAUUUUCACAGACAAUAUUGAGAUUUGCCCAGACAAUCUGCUAAAAUGUGAUGAAAAGAUUAAAACCUUCUUGGAAGAACAUCUUCACACUGAUGAGGAGAUCCACUACUGUCUGGCUGGAAGUGGUUGUUUUGAUGUCAGGUAUCAUAACUGACUGCUGGAUUCAUGUCUGAAUGAAGAAAGGGGAAAUAAUUGUCUUGCCUGCUGGAAAUUAUCAUCGGUUUGCACUGGAUACAGAUAAUUACAUUAAUAUAUUCAAUUAUAUAUGUAAGAAUAUGAGUUGUUUGCAAGUGUGUCUCUUUAUUGGAGGGGAAAGUGUAAUUGAAGUGUCCUUCCUUUUCCGCCUCCCUCCUCUUUGGUAAUUGGAAGAUAAUCAUGAAAGUCAAAUUCAUUCUUUUGAUGCUUAUAUGUUGGUCUGGAGCCUUAUGAGUUAUGUCGAAGCAUAACGAUGACUUCUAAUGCCAUUGUGCCACCAUAACUAAUACCAUUAUUAACUCUGCACAGAGUGAUUGUAAUUUUGCUGACCAAUAUUCCCAUGAUUAUGUGGUUGGUAGUCUUGUUGCUUUCAGUCUAUUACCACAACGUCAAGUAUGGGGCUGUAUCUGUCUUACAAGAAGACAUGGCAUGUAAUGCAUGGUUAUUGUUUAUUGCUUAUUGCUAUUGCCGUUGAUUAGUACAACUUUCAACCGAAGUGUUUGGCUUUGUGGUGUCAUGCUGUGCAGAUGUUAUUUAGACUGUGCUAUAAUUUCUAGCAACCUGAUACAUUCAAAAGUCAUUUGGGUUAAGUGCCUGAGGACUAUUGUUUUGAGAUUUGGUUUGCGUGAUGUAGGAUGGAUUUGAUGUAAGAUGUUGCUUGGGACAUGAAUACUAAUUUUAUUCUAAAAUAUGGGCUGCCAUAAUUUUGUUACAUAAAAAGUACUGAGCGACAUCUUAUCAAGUACUCAGGUCACAGAUCUUAGUUGCAGAGUGAAUGCUUUAUGGGUUUUCUACGUGCUACCAUGCUUGGGAUGGAUAAGUUCAUAUAUCAUGUGAAGGUUGAGGAAUUUUAAACCAGGUCUUAUUUCCUGUCGUAGGGAAUAUUAUUGGUUAUGCGAGAGCAAGGACAAUUAGGCAUUAAAUAUUGGGUUGCCUAGGUAGUUCCACUAGUGCUUCUUCAUCUCUUGAUGUGGGACUCCUUUGGCAUGAUAUCCUUGGGGUUCUGUAGAUGUGAAGAUGAAUAUGCUGAAUGAUUUCGAAGUUGGCAUACAGCAGUUCUGUUGUUUAUACAUGCUCAUGUCUGAUAUUGGAUGCUUGGCAUAUGUCAUUCAUAUUUUGGAGUUCUAUUCAUCUUUUACUUAACGCCCGCUUCCCUCAUCAUAUAAUUAGUUUCUGUUAAUACAAAUAUGUGUAGGCAAUGCGACUUUUUGUGGGUGAUCCAAUUUGGACACCAUUCAACUGUCCACUUGAUCAUCUACACGCAAGGAAAGAGUAUCUGAAAGCUUUUGUGCAUAAGGAAGUUGGCAAUCAUACUGUUGAUGCUGCUGCAUGAAAUCUUCCGACGCUACUAAACUUGCCCAUGGCGGGAGCAAAUAUGCAAUUGGUGGCUGCAUUAGGUCCAGAGGUUGGCUCUUUUUGGGCUUCGCAGAUAUUGGGCUAAAUAAUUCGCUUCAAAACCAAAAGGUAGGUGUCGGGGGUAGGGGAGAUGAGAUAGGAUUCGAUAUCUCUUCAGGUCAGUGUGGGCCCCAAACAAUUUCUUGAACGUUGCAGCUCUUUAUAAAAAUCUUGGUUAGAUUUGGGUGUGUCGGGUAUAUACGGUGCGGCUCUACACUCUUCCUCCCAAGACUUUUUAAAGCUGCUAUAUUUUUUAUUUCUUUUAUUCGCAUUAGUUUAAUUCAACUCGGCAACUUGCUUUAAUUGAAUACCAUCAUCCUCUAUAUUGCUCCAUCA